rnacentral:lncRNA from 1 species
CUGGUGGGAGGGAAGGCCCUGCUGAAGGACACCCAGCCAGCACCAGUGACAGCCUCUGCACCCCCUGCACAGGGAGAGAUCGUUAGCAGCAGCACUAAUGAGACAAAGGGCUCAUUAAACAAGAGGCUGGGGAACAUUUGUUUCUUCCCUGGAUUAAAUCUAUGGUUGUAUUAGCAAGGGAUUGCACUGCUCAGUCCAGAAAUAAAUAGGAAUUCACCUCAGCAGUCGGGAGAAGCCUCUCCCAGCACCCUCUGAUAGGAAGCUCUCAUCCCAGGGAGUGCUGGGAUUUUGGGAAUUCCUUCCUAAACCAGCAUCCUUUUGCAUCUUCUGGGACAAGUGCAGCCAGAAAUUUCUUUGAGAUCCAGACAAUUCCCCCACAACCACUUCCAGAGGAUGCAAUAAUGUGAUUUUGGUGGGGUUUUUUUCCUUAUCAGGCUCCUUCUUGCCCCAUCCUGGUGGCCACUCAGCACAGGACUGCCAGCCCUGCUCCCCAGGCUGGUUCUGCUCCCAGCAGGGCCAGAGCUCCCCGCAGGGUUUGUGUAAGGAAGGAUGGUUUUGCCCUGCAGGCUCUGUGUCAGACCAGCACUCAGAUUAUUUGUGUCCUGUGGGUCACUACUGCCCCUCUGGCAGCCCAGAGCCCGUGCCCUGUCCCCCUGGAGAAUACCAGGAGCAGGCUGGGAAAGGCCAGUGUGAAACAUGCCCAGCAGGAAUGUUCUGUGCCCAACAGGAGCACCCAGGUGAUGCCCAGCAGAACAUCCAUGGCGUGGCCAAAGCCCUGGAAUGCCCAGCAGGCCAUUACUGCCCACCAGGAACCAGGGCUGCCAACCAGUACCCGUGUCCAGAGGGCACCUACAGCCCCCAGCCCGGCCUGGCAAACCCCAGGGACUGCAGGCCUUGUCCUGGGGGCACGUUCUGUGCCAGGACAGGUGGGAAUUGUGUGUGGAUUAAACAAAAUCCUCGUCUGCUUUGGAUCUGGGGGAGAGGGAAGUGUUCUGUGCUGUUCAUCCAAAUGUUACAGAGCAUUUGCAGCCAUUUCUGGGACCCCUUGAGCAGAUUUUAAAGGGUUUUUUGCAAACCAUGUUUUGAAAUUUAACUUAAAGGCAGAUCAAGGUGGUUUUGUUGUAGCAGAGGUUAUGAAACCAGAAAUCAAGCAGCCUGGGGGUUAGGACUCAUUUGGGUUUGUCUCUCAGUGGAAUGACUUAUAAUGAUCAGCCUCCUCUAAAAUGGUGAUUUAGGGAAAUAUUUGGGCUUUUAUCUCUCUGCUCAUC